GACGAACGCUGGCGGCGUGCUUAACACAUGCAAGUCGAACGAUGACGACCGAGCUUGCUCGGUCUGAUUAGUGGCGAACGGGUGAGUAACACGUGAGCAACCUGCCCUUCACUCUGGGAUAACCUCGGGAAAUCGGGGCUAAUAACGGAUAUGAGCUCCUGUCGCAUGGCGGGUGUUGGAAAGUUUUUCGGUGAAGGAUGGGCUCGCGGCCUAUCAGUUUGUUGGUGAGGUAGUGGCUCACCAAGGCGAUGACGGGUAGCCGGCCUGAGAGGGCGACCGGCCACACUGGGACUGAGACACGGCCCAGACUCCUACGGGAGGCAGCAGUGGGGAAUAUUGCACAAUGGGCGAAAGCCUGAUGCAGCGACGCCGCGUGAGGGAUGACGGCCUUCGUGUUGUAAACCCCUUUCAGCAGGGAAGAAGCGAAAGUGACGGUACCUGCAGAAGAAGCGCCGGCUAACUACGUG
rnacentral:rRNA from 1 species